GAUGAACGCUGGCGGCGUGCCUAAUACAUGCAAGUCGAGCGAAUGGAUUAAGAGCUUGCUCUUAUGAAGUUAGCGGCGGACGGGUGAGUAACACGUGGGUAACCUGCCCAUAAGACUGGGAUAACUCCGGGAAACCGGGGCUAAUACCGGAUAACAUUUUGAACCGCAUGGUUCGAAAUUGAACGGCGGCUUCGGCUGUCACUUAUGGAUGGACCCGCGUCGCAUUAGCUAGUUGGUGAGGUAACGGCUCACCAAGGAAACGAUGCGUAGCCGACCUGAGAGGGUGAUCGGCCACACUGGGACUGAGACACGGCCCAGACUCCUACGGGAGGCAGCAGUAGGGAAUCUUCCGCAAUGGAUGAAAGUCUGACGGAGCAACGCCGCGUGAGUGAUGAAGGCUUUCGGGUCGUAAAACUCUGUUGUUAGGGAAGAACAAGUGCUAGUUGAAUAAGCUGGCACCUUGACGGUACCUAACCAGAAAGCCACGGCUAACUACGUGCCAGCAGCCGCCGUAA
rnacentral:rRNA from 1 species